rnacentral:rRNA from 1 species
UACGUAGGUGGCAAGCGUUGUCCGGAAUUAUUGGGCGUAAAGCGCGCGCAGGCGGUCCUUUAAGUCUGAUGUGAAAGCCCACGGCUCAACCGUGGAGGGUCAUUGGAAACUGGGGGACUUGAGUACAGAAGAGAAGAGUGGAAUUCCACGUGUAGCGGUGAAAUGCGUAGAGAUGUGGAGGAACACCAGUGGCGAAGGCGGGUCUCUGGGCCGAAAUUGACGCUGAGGAGCGAAAGCGUGGGGAGCAAACAGGGA